GGGGGCUUGGAAAGCCGGGGGGGACUAAGCCUAUUCUGACUUUCGACAUUAAACAAUCAACGGUCAAGCUGGCAGGAAAGAAUUGACGAAAAAAGUGUUUAAUAGAGAAAAUGCAACUAAUUAUCCAGUCAAAUGGCCAUAUGAAAAAAAGAAUUUGAAGGAUACAUCUGUCUAAUGCUUUGUAGGAACUGCUUUGUUUUUACAAGCUCGGAAUAUCGGCUCGACUUAUUCACCUGGUGCGAUGGUUGAAAACUUUAUGGUUUAAGGAAAAGGCUACAAAACCAGCAUCAUCAUCAGGGAAUUGUCGAGGCUCUGCACUACUAUUCUCAUCAUGAUGUCACAGAGCAAAAAUCAAAAAAGAAAAGCUUUAUUUAUGAUAGUUAAAAUACGGAAUUGUUCUCCUAAACGAGCGAACACCACAAGCCAAACAACAUGGACAGUCAAGGUGAACUGUUAAUACCCAAAAGCCAUGAUGUGAGACUGAAUAAAGGCAUGGAUGAUGAGCAGCAUAUUUUAGCAAAAUAUUUAGCUUUCCUUUCUUCCCUUUAAAAUAUGUUUUUCUUUUUCAAUCAAUCUGCAUUCUCCCCCUGGGAAAAAUAUUUUUUAUGUUUGGUUGAUAUUGCCCUAAAAUUUUAGCAAAUAAAAUAAACAAAACUGUGAUUUCUUUUUUCUUUUAUUAGGGGGGGGGGGUGCCCCAAGUGCUAUGCUCUUUUUAUUCUUUUGUGGGAUUCAAGCUACUUAUGAGUAGCAAUAAUUUGAUUCGCUAUUUAGCAUUCUUUGUGCAUUUAAGAUAUUAUAAAAUAGAUACAUUCAAAUUUAUUCAGAACCUACAUUUCUGCGUUUUCGCCAUAUCUGCUAUUGGGUAAAAUUGUUGUUUACCAUACCCAUUCACCCAAAGAGACUCCCAUAAAAACAGAAGGGGAUGAUCGAUCUCAACCCUAAGGGAUAACACUUUGGUUGUGGUCAGUAAGUCCUACCCCAUAAGGUAGCACAUUAGGUGUGGUCAAGCAAUUUCUUUCCCUAAGCAUUUUGAACACUCCCUAAGGAAAAGCAGUUAGCAUAAUUUCACACCCUUUAGAUAGGACAAACAACCCCAUCUGACUAUUUUAUGAGGAGCCCUCCCACUUCUUAGUGGAUGCUGUAAAAUAGGAUUUCUCUUUUCUUAUCUAUGCUAACUUUUUCUGGAGUUUUAACUUGGAGGUUAACAUUUAAGAAUUAUAUAAGUGUGCUGUUAGACUGGAGUAGGAAAAGGAUAGUGAAUUGAAAUAUUUGUAUUCACAAAGAUUUGUAGUUGCAUCUUCCAGCAAUUUGGUACACCCGGACUGUGUUUCAAAAAUGGCUGAAAAUUUUCAUCAUAGGUAUUUUUGGGUGCAAAAUGUUGGGCUCUCUUGCUGCAAACAUCUGCUGAAGUCUCUUGAUCUUCUAAGCUGUACUCAACAAAAAAAACGAGUAAUGCUGUACAUGGCAAGGCACAUAUAUGUUAGAUUAUUUGAUUAUAGAAAUGUAAAAUAGGAAAUAUCUGUUCAGUAUUAGUUGUCUAUCAAACGAAGCUACACAGAGCACUGUUAAUAAAUAAAAGUAAAAUAUCAGCAA